CAGUGCAUAUCGGGGAGUUUUUUGGAGGUGGCGGUAGUUCUGAAAUGUUCAGACAGAAAAACAAAGUUUUAAAACAUUCUUCGUGUUUUUGGAUUUCUCAUCGUGUGUAAUAGCAUUUCCAUGCUGAACAAUGUAGAGUAUAAAAUUAGACAAUAGUUCGAAGCAGUUAAACUUUUCGAAAUGUAAUCUUUAUUGCAUAUAUAUACACUUCCCAUAGAAAAUGAACUCAUUAUAAUUGAGACAUUUUCGCAGGAGGGGGGUGCUACGCCAGGGCGUAGACAUUAAAAAAAAUCGCCGCUUAAGCACUCGGUACAGAUGGUUAACCAGCGAGGCUGAAACGUGCGGCCCCGGUGUUCAUCACUGGGUUAAUCCCGACGGUUCAUUAAAGUAUUUCUCAAUUAUUGGUUACGCCUUUGUGUUUCUUAAUGAGGUUACACACGUUCGGCUGUGACGGAGAGAACGAUGUCACUGACGGUAUGUCUACAGUUUGCCGUUAUCGCUUGCAUUCGAUGUCCCGAGGUUGCUCGGUGGCAUGGUUGGCAGCAUUCGCCCGCCAUUGCCGCUUGUGAUCCUUCGAAAUUAAAUUGCUUCAAAAUUAUAUCUCCGUUACGUAACACAAUGAAUGGCUCAUAUCUCCUUAAAGGGACCUUGAGACUAUUUUGUACAAACGUAAUGAGUCGUUAAGAAGCAACAUAA